AUCCUUAGGCCGGUCCUUGCACUUGGCAUCUGUUUUUGUCAGUUUAAUAUGUGGCAUCUCCUCUACUCAAGGACAAUAUUUUAAUUGGACUUUUGGAGCAAGGAGGUAGAAUAGGAGCUUGCUCUGUCUGCUCCAUGCUUUGACCAAGUACUACAGUACCUCCAGGAACCUAGGGAAUAUAUU
ensembl:snRNA U2 U2 spliceosomal RNA